AAGAUCAAUUAGAUUUAGACUUCAUGAAGAGGUCAAUCUUAUUUGUCCAACUAAUGACCAGAGAGAUUAGCUCAUGGCACCAAUGAAAAAUAGGUAAAAAAAAAAAAAUCAAAAUCGCUACAAAUCAGGGAAAUACUCAGGACCAGAUGAUUUUAGCUCCAAAUAUUACAAGCACUUUCUGUGUCUCAUUGUGGCAACGUUUUCAUGCCAUAGGGGACACAAUCCAGAACAGUGG